UACGGAGGAUGCGAGCGUUAUCCGGAUUUAUUGGGUUUAAAGGGUGCGCAGGCGGGAGAUUAAGUCGGCGGUGAAAUUUUGCAGCUCAACUGUAAAAGUGCCUUCGAAACUGGUUUCCUUGAGUGUAGAUGAAGUAGGCGGAAUUUGUGGUGUAGCGGUGAAAUGCAUAGAUAUCACGAGGAACUCCGAUUGCGCAGGCAGCUUACUAAACUACUACUGACGCUCAGGCACGAAGGCGUGGGGAUCAAACAGGAUUAGAUACCCCGGUA
rnacentral:rRNA from 1 species